rnacentral:rRNA from 1 species
CAGUCGCCGCGGUAAUACGUAGGUCCCGAGCGUUGUCCGGAUUUAUUGGGCGUAAAGCGAGCGCAGGCGGUUUGAUAAGUCUGAAGUUAAAGGCUGUGGCUCAACCAUAGUUCGCUUUGGAAACUGUCAAACUUGAGUGCAGAAGGGGAGAGUGGAAUUCCAUGUGUAGCGGUGAAAUGCGUAGAUAUGUGGAGGAACACCGGUGGCGAAAGCGGCUCUCUGGUCUGUAACUGACGCUGAGGCUCGAAAGCGUGGGGAGCGAACAGGAUUAGAUACCCCUGUAGUCCCUGUCUCUUAUACA